rnacentral:rRNA from 1 species
AUUGAACGCUGGCGGCAGGCCUAACACAUGCAAGUCGAACGGUAACAGGAAGAAGCUUGCUUCUUUGCUGACGAGUGGCGGACGGGUGAGUAAUGUCUGGGAAACUGCCUGAUGGAGGGGGAUAACUACUGGAAACGGUAGCUAAUACCGCAUAACGUCGCAAGACCAAAGAGGGGGACCUUCGGGCCUUUUGCCAUCGGCUGUGCCCAGAUGGGAUUAGCUAGUAGGUGGGGUAACGGCUCACCUAGGCGACGAUCCCUAGCUGGUCUGAGAGGAUGACCAGCCACACUGGAACUGAGACACGGUCCAGACUCCUACGGGAGGCAGCAGUGGGGAAUAUUGCACAAUGGGCGCAAGCCUGAUGCAGCCAUGCCGCGUGUAUGAAGAAGGCCUUCGGGUUGUAAAGUACUUUCAGCGGGGAGGAAGGGAGUAAAGUUAAUACCUUUGCUCAUUGACGUUACCCGCAGAAGAAGCACCGGCUAACUCCGUG